rnacentral:rRNA from 1 species
CCUACGGGAGGCUGCAGUGGGGAAUAUUGCACAAUGGGGGAAACCCUGAUGCAGCGACGCCGCGUGAGUGAAGAAGUAUUUCGGUAUGUAAAGCUCUAUCAGCAGGGAAGAAAAUGACGGUACCUGAUUAAGAAGCCCCGGCUAACUACGUGCCAGCAGCCGCGGUAAUACGUAGGGGGCAAGCGUUAUCCGGAUUUACUGGGUGGAAAGGGAGCGUAGACGGCAGCACAAGUCUGGAGUGAAAUGCCGGGGCUUAACCCCGGACCUGCUUUGGAAACUGUUCAGCUAGAGUGCAGGAGAGGUAAGUGGAAUCCCUAGUGUAGCGGUGAAAUGCGUAGAUAUUAGGAGGAACACCAGUGGCGAAGGCGGCUUACUGGACUGUAACUGACGUUGAGGCUCGAAAGCGUGGGGAGCAAACAGGAUUAGAUACCCUAGUAGUC